GAGUUUGAUCUUGGCUCAGGACGAACGCUGGCGGCGUGCUUAACACAUGCAAGUCGAACGAAGCACCUUGGACAGAUUCUUCGGAUGAAGUCUUUGGCGACUGAGUGGCGGGCGGGUGAGUAACGCGUGGGUAACCUGCCUCAUACAGGGGGAUAACAGUUAGAAAUGGCUGCUAAUACCGCAUAAGCGCACGGGACCGCAUGGUUUUGUGUGAAAAACUCCGGUGGUGUGAGAUGGACCCCGCGUUGGAUUAGCCAGUUGGCAGGGUAACGGCCUA
rnacentral:rRNA from 1 species